rnacentral:rRNA from 1 species
UACAGAGGGUGCGAGCGUUAAUCGGAAUUACUGGGCGUAAAGCGUGCGUAGACGGUUAUUUAAGUCGGGUGUGAAAGCCCCGGGCUCAACCUGGGAAUUGCAUUCGAGACUGAAUAGCUAGGGUACGGUAGAGGGAAGCGGAAUUUCCGGUGUAGCGGUGAAAUGCGUAGAUAUCGUUUGGAACGCCAAUGGUGAAAACAGCUAGCUGGGGAUGUGCCGACGCUGAGACACGAAAGCCAGGGGAGCGAACGGG